GAUCUCAAAUCAGGUAGGACUACCCGCUGAACUUAAGCAUAUCAAUAAGCCGGAGG
rnacentral:rRNA from 1 species